UUCUUCAUUCAUCAUAGUACUAUUUCUCUCUCUUCUUAUCUUGUUUCUCUCUCUUCUUCAUACAUACUUUUACCUCUCUUCUCGCGCAAGAACCACCACGGAGGCUCCGACCCGAAUCCGACGAAACGACUCUACUCCAGCUCCGUACACCUUCAUGCGCAUUUCCCCUACCAUUCUCGCAGAUUUUGCUCCUUCUCGUUUCCAAAUCUGUGAGUCCUCGAUUUCCUCUUCCGAUUCAUACCUCAAUCGCCAUUGUUCAAGCUCCC
rnacentral:lncRNA from 1 species